CUUAAAUUGAAGAGUUUGAUCAUGGCUCAGAUUGAACGCUGGCGGCAGGCCUAACACAUGCAGGU
rnacentral:rRNA from 1 species